rnacentral:rRNA from 1 species
CCUACGGGAGGCAGCAGUGGGGAAUUUUGGACAAUGGGCGCAAGCCUGAUCCAGCCAUUCCGCGUGAGUGAAGAAGGCCUUCGGGUUGUAAAGCUCUUUUAGCUGGGAAGAAACGGUGCGGGCUAAUACCUUGCACUACUGACGGUACCAGCAGAAAAAGCACCGGCUAACUACGUGCCAGCAGCCGCGGUAAUACGUAGGGUGCGAGCGUUAAUCGGAAUUACUGGGCGUAAAGCGUGCGCAGGCGGUUUUGCAAGUCAGAUGUGAAAGCCCCGGGCUUAACCUGGGAACGGCGUUUGAAACUGCAAGGCUAGAGUGUGUCAGAGGGGGGUAGAAUUCCACGUGUAGCAGUGAAAUGCGUAGAGAUGUGGAGGAAUACCGAUGGCGAAGGCAGCCCCCUGGGAUAACACUGACGCUCAGGCACGAAAGCGUGGGGAGCAAACAGGAUUAGAUACCCUGGUAGUCCACGCCCUAAACGAUGUCAACUAGUUGUUGGGUGACUUGUUCACUUAGUAACGCAGCUAACGCGGGAAGUUGACCGCCUGGGGGAGGUACGGUCGCGAGAUAAACUACAANAGAGUAGAGCGUGAGACGUGCGACGGACGACGACGAGGGAGGAGG